UCGAGAAUUUUUCACAAUGGGCGCAAGCCUGAUGGAGCGACGCCGCGUGGGGGAUGAAUGGCUUCGGCCCGUAAACCCCUGUCAUUUGCGAUCAAACCUUGCUAUUUAAAAGAUGGCGAGCUGAUAGUAGCGAAAGAGGAAGGGACGGCUAACUCUGUGCCAGCAGCCGCGGUAAUACAGAGGUCCCAAGCGUUGUUCGGAUUCACUGGGCGUAAAGGGUGCGUAGGUGGUGGGGUAAGUCGGAUGUGAAAUCUCGGAGCUCAACGCCGAAAUGGCAUUGGAAACUACCCUGCUAGAGGGUCGGAGGGGGGACUGGAAUUCUCGGUGUAGCAGUGAAAUGCGUAGAUAUCGAGAGGAACACCAGUGGCGAAGGCGAGUCCCUGGACGACUCCUGACACUGAGGCACGAAAGCUAGGGGA
rnacentral:rRNA from 1 species